rnacentral:sRNA from 1 species
UGGCUGCCCACAGGUCUGCAGGCACUCGGUACGCCGCUAACGCGGCGAGGUAGCUCGGUGCGUCUCGCGGUACCAGUGCGAAUCAUCGGGCUAUCCAGGUCCGAGAUCCUAGUCUCCUGUCGGCUCUGAGGAGGAUGGAUCCUUCUGCGGAUACAUGGGACCUCUCCUCACCUUUAAUAUCAUUAUGGAUAAACAGGUUUUACAUUUAUUUGGGCUUUGCUGUUAGCAUUAGCCUUUGGAUUUGUGUCCAGAUUGUCAUCAAGACGCAGGGCAAGAACUUACAGGAAAAAUCUGUUCCAAAAGCAGCUCAGGAUUUGAUGACAAAUGGUUAUGUCUCCCUUCAAGAGAAAGACAUCUUUGUGUCUGGAGUGAAGAUUUUUUAUGGUUCUCAGACUGGAACAGCAAAGGGAUUCGCAACAGUUCUUGCUGAAGCAGUUACGUCCCUGGAUCUGCCUGUGGCCAUUAUUAAUCUAAAAGAAUAUGAUCCAGAUGAUCAUCUGAUAGAAGAGGUUGGUAAUUGUCUUUUUCUUCAAUCAAAACUCUCAAAUUUAACUGAUCUGCAAUCUUCACAGUA